rnacentral:rRNA from 1 species
AUGCGUCCGUCAGUUCAGAUUGGAGAUGCAACCAUCCACACUGUUUCCGACCUAAUCGACCACGAAAAUUGGAGUUGGAGAACGGAGUUAGUAAGAUCAAAUUUCACGCCACCAGAUGCAGAUGCAAUAUUGAACAUACCACUCAGACAUGGUGGAGGUGAUGAUUUUUGGGCGUGGGCUCAUGAGAGAUCCGGGACAUAUUCUGUCAAAUCCGCGUAUCGUGCUCUAAUGACUCGUAACGAACAACAAGUUCUAGAGGAAGGGGCGAUCACUGAAUCUUCAGAGACUGAUAAACAGAUGUGGACACGGCUAUGGAAGCUCAAAAUCCUACCCAAAGUUAGGGUUUUUGGUGGCGCGUACUUCGAGGUAUUCUACCAGUGGAAACCACGCUGA